GAUGAAGAACGCAGCGAAAUGAGAUACGUAAUGUGAAUUGCAGAUUUCAGUGAAUCAUCGAAUCUUUGAACGCACAUUGCGCCCGCUAGUAUUCUGGCGGGCAUGCCUGUUCGAGCGUCAUUUCAACCAUCAAGCCCUAGGCUUGCGUUGGAGCCCUGCGGCUGCCGCAGGCUCCCAAAUCCAGUGGCGGGCUCGUCGUCGUACCGAGUGCAGUAAACAUCCUCGCUCAGGGAACGUGACGGGUUCUUGCCGUGAAACCCCCCACAUAUCAAGGUUGACCUCGGAUCAGGUAGGAAUACCCGCUGAACUUAAGCAUAUCAAUAAGCGGAGGA
rnacentral:misc_RNA from 1 species